rnacentral:tRNA from 1 species
UCCCUGGUGGCUCAGAGGUUAAAGCGUCUGCCUCCAAUGCAGGAGACCCGGGUUCGAUUCCUGGGGCGGGAA